rnacentral:rRNA from 1 species
ACUAAGCGUACACGGUGGAUGCCCUGGCAGUCAGAGGCGAUGAAGGACGUGCUAAUCUGCGAUAAGCGUCGGUAAGGUGAUAUGAACCGUUAUAACCGGCGAUUUCCGAAUGGGGAAACCCAGUGUGAUUCGUCACACUAUCAUUAACUGAAUCCAUAGGUUAAUGAGGCGAACCGGGGGAACUGAAACAUCUAAGUACCCCGAGGAAAAGAAAUCAACCGAGAUUCCCCCAGUAGCGGCGAGCGAACGGGGAGGAGCCCAGAGCCUGAAUCAGUGUGUGUGUUAGUGGAAGCGUCUGGAAAGGCGCGCGAUACAGGGUGACAGCCCCGUACACAAAAAUGCACAUGCUGUGAGCUCGAUGAGUAGGGCGGGACACGUGGUAUCCUGUCUGAAUAUGGGGGGACCAUCCUCCAAGGCUAAAUACUCCUGACUGACCGAUAGUGAACCAGUACCGUGAGGGAAAGGCGAAAAGAACCCCGGCGAGGGGAGUGAAAAAGAACCUGAAACCGUGUACGUACAAGCAGUGGGAGCACAGAGCAAUCUGUGUGACUGCGUACCUUUUGUAUAAUGGGUCAGCGACUUAUAUUCUGUAGCAAGGUUAACCGAAUAGGGGAGCCGAAGGGAAACCGAGUCUUAACUGGGCGUUAAGUUGCAGGGUAUAGACCCGAAACCCGGUGAUCUAGCCAUGGGCAGGUUGAAGGUUGGGUAACACUAACUGGAGGACCGAACCGACUAAUGUUGAAAAAUUAGCGGAUGACUUGUGGCUGGGGGUGAAAGGCCAAUCAAACCGGGAGAUAGCUGGUUCUCCCCGAAAGCUAUUUAGGUAGCGCCUCGUGAAUUCAUCUCCGGGGGUAGAGCACUGUUUCGGCAAGGGGGUCAUCCCGACUUACCAACCCGAUGCAAACUGCGAAUACCGGAGAAUGUUAUCACGGGAGACACACGGCGGGUGCUAACGUCCGUCGUGAAGAGGGAAACAACCCAGACCGCCAGCUAAGGUCCCAAAGUCAUGGUUAAGUGGGAAACGAUGUGGGAAGGCCCAGACAGCCAGGAUGUUGGCUUAGAAGCAGCCAUCAUUUAAAGAAAGCGUAAUAGCUCACUGGUCGAGUCGGCCUGCGCGGAAGAUGUAACGGGGCUAAACCAUGCACCGAAGCUGCGGCAGCGACACUAUGUGUUGUUGGGUAGGGGAGCGUUCUGUAAGCCUGUGAAGGUGUGCUGUGAGGCAUGCUGGAGGUAUCAGAAGUGCGAAUGCUGACAUAAGUAACGAUAAAGCGGGUGAAAAGCCCGCUCGCCGGAAGACCAAGGGUUCCUGUCCAACGUUAAUCGGGGCAGGGUGAGUCGACCCCUAAGGCGAGGCCGAAAGGCGUAGUCGAUGGGAAACAGGUUAAUAUUCCUGUACUUGGUGUUACUGCGAAGGGGGGACGGAGAAGGCUAUGUUGGCCGGGCGACGGUUGUCCCGGUUUAAGCGUGUAGGCUGGUUUUCCAGGCAAAUCCGGAAAAUCAAGGCUGAGGCGUGAUGACGAGGCACUACGGUGCUGAAGCAACAAAUGCCCUGCUUCCAGGAAAAGCCUCUAAGCAUCAGGUAACAUCAAAUCGUACCCCAAACCGACACAGGUGGUCAGGUAGAGAAUACCAAGGCGCUUGAGAGAACUCGGGUGAAGGAACUAGGCAAAAUGGUGCCGUAACUUCGGGAGAAGGCACGCUGAUAUGUAGGUGAAGCGACUUGCUCGUGGAGCUGAAAUCAGUCGAAGAUACCAGCUGGCUGCAACUGUUUAUUAAAAACACAGCACUGUGCAAACACGAAAGUGGACGUAUACGGUGUGACGCCUGCCCGGUGCCGGAAGGUUAAUUGAUGGGGUCAGCGCAAGCGAAGCUCUUGAUCGAAGCCCCGGUAAACGGCGGCCGUAACUAUAACGGUCCUAAGGUAGCGAAAUUCCUUGUCGGGUAAGUUCCGACCUGCACGAAUGGCGUAAUGAUGGCCAGGCUGUCUCCACCCGAGACUCAGUGAAAUUGAACUCGCUGUGAAGAUGCAGUGUACCCGCGGCAAGACGGAAAGACCCCGUGAACCUUUACUAUAGCUUGACACUGAACAUUGAGCCUUGAUGUGUAGGAUAGGUGGGAGGCUUGGAAGUGUGGACGCCAGUCUGCAUGGAGCCGACCUUGAAAUACCACCCUUUAAUGUUUGAUGUUCUAACGUUGACCCGUAAUCCGGGUUGCGGACAGUGUCUGGUGGGUAGUUUGACUGGGGCGGUCUCCUCCUAAAGAGUAACGGAGGAGCACGAAGGUUGGCUAAUCCUGGUCGGACAUCAGGAGGUUAGUGCAAUGGCAUAAGCCAGCUUGACUGCGAGCGUGACGGCGCGAGCAGGUGCGAAAGCAGGUCAUAGUGAUCCGGUGGUUCUGAAUGGAAGGGCCAUCGCUCAACGGAUAAAAGGUACUCCGGGGAUAACAGGCUGAUACCGCCCAAGAGUUCAUAUCGACGGCGGUGUUUGGCACCUCGAUGUCGGCUCAUCACAUCCUGGGGCUGAAGUAGGUCCCAAGGGUAUGGCUGUUCGCCAUUUAAAGUGGUACGCGAGCUGGGUUUAGAACGUCGUGAGACAGUUCGGUCCCUAUCUGCCGUGGGCGCUGGAGAACUGAGGGGGGCUGCUCCUAGUACGAGAGGACCGGAGUGGACGCAUCACUGGUGUUCGGGUUGUCAUGCCAAUGGCACUGCCCGGUAGCUAAAUGCGGAAGAGAUAAGUGCUGAAAGCAUCUAAGCACGAAACUUGCCCCGAGAUGAGUUCUCCCUGACUCCUUGAGAGUCCUGAAGGAACGUUGAAGACGACGACGUUG